rnacentral:snRNA from 1 species
GUGCUUGCUCUGGCAAUAGUACAAAGAUUGAAAUAGUACAAAGAUUAGCAUGGCCUCUGAACAAAGAUGACAUGCCAAUGUGUGAAGGGCUCCAUAUUUGA